rnacentral:rRNA from 1 species
GAUGCCCUUUAGAUGUUCUGGGCCGCACGCGCGCUACACUGACGAGCUCAACGAGCGUCUCCUUCUCCUAGGCCGGAAGGUCCGGGUAAUCUUCGAAAGCUCGUCGUGCUGGGGAUAGAUCCUUGCAAUUAUGGAUCUUCAACGAGGAAUUCCUAGUAAGCGCGAGUCAUCAGCUCGCGUUGAUUACGUCCCUGCCCUUU